GGCCACUUAGCUCAGUUGGUUAGAGCGUAUGCUUAACAUCUCGUAACAGAUUUACGCAUAAGGUCGGCGGUUCGACCCCGCCAGAGGUCA
rnacentral:tRNA from 1 species